UCUCACUUAUCAAAUGAGACUCACUAACUAUUUAGAAGCUUAUUGUGAUUUUGUUGUGGUCUUUCCACCUUAGAUGAAGCUGUAGACUGUUUUCCUGUAUUUUUGACACUCAGUGAGUGACACACUGCAGUGAGGACAACUUGGAGUUUUUUUAUACAUAUUUUUUGGAAGUAAUGCACUUUUGUCUUUUAAAUAUAAGCUAGUGAACUAUUCUUUUCUUUAAAUAUGAGCAAGCGAAUUAUUUCCAUCUUCUGAGACAAGCAAUUGAGUACAAUAGAGGAAAAAUACCCCUGUAUCUGAGCUAGCAAAUCCUGGUAAUCUACAGUUCAUUUGGUGGCACAUUGAAAGGCCUGCACUUCAACAACCUUAUCGUUGGCUUAGUGCUGCUGACCAGAGGACGUGAUGAAGAAAAGGCAAGAUAUAUUUUCAGCCUUUUUGCCAGUGAAUCAGGCAGCUAUGCUACACGUGAAGACAUUGAAUCCAUGCUGCAGGCUGUGGAUGGAGAGGUGCAUCCCUCCCUCAGGAAGUGCUUUA